rnacentral:rRNA from 1 species
CCUACGGGUGGCUGCAGUGGGGAAUAUUGCACAAUGGUGGAAACCCUGAUGCAGCGACGCCGCGUGCGUGAGGACGUAUUUCGGUAUGUUAAGCUCUAUCAGCAGGGAAGAAAAUGACGGUACCUGACUAAGAAGCUACGGCUAACUACGUGCCAGCAGCCGCGGUAAUACGUAGGGGGCAAGCGUUAUCCGGAUUUACUGGGUGUAAAGGGAGCGUAGGCGGUUAAUCAAGUCUGAAGUGAAAACCCAGGGCUCAACCUUGGGACUGCUUUUGAAACUGAGUAGCUAGAGUGCGGGGAAGGUAUGCGGAAUUCCUGGUGUAGCGGUGAAAUGCGUAGAUAUUAGGAAGAACUCCAGUGGCGAAGGCGGCUUACGGGACUGUAACUGACGUUGAGGCUCGAAGGCGUGGGGAGCGAACAGGAUUAGAUACCCGGGUAGUC